CUACGGGUGGCAGCAGUGGGGAAUAUUGCACAAUGGGCGCAAGCCUGAUGCAGCCAUGCCGCGUGUAUGAAGAAGGCCUUCGGGUUGUAAAGUACUUUCAGCGGGGAGGAAGGGAGUAAAGUUAAUACCUUUGCUCAUUGACGUUACCCGCAGAAGAAGCACCGGCUAACUCCGUGCCAGCAGCCGCGGUAAUACGGAGGGUGCAAGCGUUAAUCGGAAUUACUGGGCGUAAAGCGCACGCAGGCGGUUUGUUAAGUCAGAUGUGAAAUCCCCGGGCUCAACCUGGGAACUGCAUCGGAUACUGGCAAGCUUGAGUCUAGUAGAGGGGGGUAGAAUUCCAGGUGUAGCGGUGAAAUGCGUAGAGAUCUGGAGGAAUACCGGUGGCGAAGGCGGCCCCCUGGACGAAGACUGACGCUCAGGUGCGAAAGCGUGGGGAGCAAACAGGAUUAGAUACCCUAGUAGUC
rnacentral:rRNA from 1 species